GCCGGUUGGAAUAUUUGCGUCUGAGGUCCUCUUCAAUAUUUGUGGUUGUCCUGGCAGUUACCAUACUGCAAUUUAAUUUAAUUUAUGCAUGGAAAGCAUCCUCCAAAUUUGAAAAAUAAUCUAGUAAACCAGGCCAAUGCUUCUAUCAAGUUCAAUAAUUUCCACUACAUAUGAUAGUGGUAGGGAAAUAGAAAUACGUGAUUGCUUAAGAGGACGUGAGACAAACUAUACUGUCACCAGGGAGUAUGUACAUGGAGUUGGCCAUGCUUCAACUGCUUAGUUGUUCUGCAUAUGAAUAGGCAGUGCUUUCAUGUGUUAGCCUUAUUAUGUGACUGUUUACUAAACAACACCGUUGUACCUUUUUAAUUCUGAUUCCUUUCCCAUUCAAAUAUUGUUUGCCAACCAGUAACAUAUGAAGUCAAUGUUUUCUUUUCGUGCAUUCAGAACGCUGAACACAUUUGCACACAUACAUUUCAAGAAGCAACAACUGAACAGUGAAGCUUAUUUCAAUCCAUUUGUGUCUAAGGUAUGGAGUUUUCACUAGUUCAGGAGGGACUAGUGAUGUAGAUUACUUAUAAGAACCCCUCCUGGGCUAGUUUAAAAAGGUAUUUUAGCUCCACACGCAGAAUGUGACAGUGAAGUGCCUUUCAUUUGGCAUGCCACCUAGACACGUAUUUUUAUAGCUUAAAAUGAGUAUGAGAAACCACUUUGGCAACCACUGCUUCUUCAUUGCACCACGCAUGCUUCACGUAUGUGGCCCACAGCCCUCUGGGCCAAGAGGCUGGGGUAGUUCUGUCUCUAAGGCAAUGGAAAGAGCUCAGCACAAAUUCUUGACAUCAUUACAAAAGGACCCUCCCCCGCAGUAACUUCCCAAGUGACCAUUUUAACUCCUUGAAGAGGAUGGGAGAUGAGAAAGAAGCCUGUUCUUCUUCACGCUGAGAUUAUUUGACGAUGAAAAUAAUCUUGUAGGGGGAGAAGUGGAGGCAAGUAUUUGAACAUUCACAGUUUGAUGCAAAGCACAGACGAAGUAUAAUCUGUAGUUGCUUCAGGCAGUUUUGCGCAUAGAAAAAAAAGAAAUGUUUAGAAAAUAAAAAGUUUACUUUGUCUUUCUGGGUAUAGCCAGAACCAGUCUCUCAUCCCACCUGGACAAGUGAAAAUGGGAAUCCAAAAUUAAUCUGAUUUGUGGCAGUAAAGGUCUUUAAGUGCUUUCAACUCCUCAAUCAGUGUCUUGUUUUGGUUUUCAAGCACAGCCACUCGAUUUUCUAGACAUUUCACAUACUCCUUUUUCUUCCUGCGACAUUCACGUGCUGCCUCUCUGUUCUUCAUUAGACGCACUUCUCUCUUCCGUGCGGCCUCUUCUGCUGGCUGGGUUGGAAGUGCUGGAGAUGAUGCCAUGACUACUCCAGGUGCAAUGGUGCUGGUAGGGGCGGUGCGAAUCUGGUAGGUCUGUACAUCUCCUGAGGCAGCUUGUACUACAACUUGGUUGCUGGGUACAAGUAUCUGUUGUCCAUCUGUGGUCUGUGCAUAUUGUAAAAUGGUAGUGCCAGGUUGUGUUGCAGCUGCAUUGGUCAUAGUCAACGUCUGGAGACCUUGUACUCCAUCCGUGCCGUUGUUAGACAACUGAAUUGCUCCUCCUUGCGUAAUAGCAAUGUACUGCCCACUGCUGGUUU
rnacentral:lncRNA from 1 species